rnacentral:misc_RNA from 1 species
UAGGAACUGUGAGAGGGUGAAAUUGAGGGCUGCAUUCAGUCAUCAACAUCAAACGCCUCACAUGCCCCACCCUCUGACCCUGCCCCUUUUGUCAGGACGUUGGCGGAAGCGGCCCACUGCCUCCCAACGCUGGCAAAGCAAUGCAUGGGAAAAAAGAUAAACAGAAAAGAGAAAGAAGGAGCGAGAAAUCAAAGGGCCUGUUCAGACCAAGUCUGUCCAA